rnacentral:rRNA from 1 species
CCGACGGGUGAGUAACACGUAUCCAACCUGCCGUCUACUCUUGGACAGCCUUUCAAAAGGAAAGAAUUAAUACAAGAUGGCAUCAUGAGUCCGCAUGUUCACAUGAUUAAAGGUAUUCCGGUAGACGAUGGGGAUGCGUUCCAUUAGAUAGUAGGCGGGGUAACGGCCCACCUAGUCUUCGAUGGAUAGGGGUUCUGAGAGGAAGGUCCCCCACAUUGGAACUGAGACACGGUCCAA